AAUGCCUUGUUUCUUUUAUCAUCUAUUCUAGUAUCAUGAAGAUCACAGCCCUCGCCCUCGUCGCCUUGUUCGGUGUCCUCGGUGUCACCCUCGGUAUGGGAUACGGUGGUUACCAGUACGUGCCGGUACAUCCAGGAGCCGGUGGUGCCGGGUUAAAUGACAAUACUUUCUUGAUGCUGAUUGGCUUUUUGUUCCUGAUCUUGAUCCUCUUCAACAGCAACUUGUUCAACACAACAACAUCUACCAGCACAUCUACAACACCAGCCGGUGUCACCUUCUUAGCUGGUUAAAUGAUUUACACAUAUUGUGAGAAUAUUUUAAACUUACUGUUAUCUACAAGAGACAAAAAUCAACCCGAAGAUUUUCCAACAACCUUUUUUCGGUAGAUACAGGACAAAAUCAUUCCAACUUGCAACAAAGUUUGAAGCAUAUGUUCAAAACUAAUUUAUUUAUUUAAUAAAUCAUAUAAAUCAAUUA